rnacentral:lncRNA from 10 species
AAGUCUCAGAAUGAUCAAGAAGACUAAAUGUUUUGUAUGUUACAGAGGCCAUUAGUGGGCUUGAGGAGUUGCCAUACUCUGUCCUUAGCUCUCUGUUGCUUACACUGGAUUUAAAACGGAUUCACUCCUUAAAGUGGAAAUACUCUUGUUUCUGUGGGGUAUCAGUCCCUGAUGACUUCCAGCUUGAAUUACUGGUGCCGUUGCUACCUAACCACAGUCCCCCGUCCCACACCCUUCUUGCCAUAGUAGGUAGCUGGGCUCAUUCAGUGCA